ACUCAGCGGGACGCUACAAGCUUCCAAGAUGACUGUCACCAACCCUCCCAUACACAUAACUCCUUGAGUUCUGCAGCUGCUCAGCUUCACUACCCAAGUUCUGUAACUGAGUAGCUGGUGCAACAUAGUGAACGAGGGGGAUGUAUCAGUCCUAUCACCUCGCAGUAGAUCUUUGAGUGCAAGAUCAAUCAUCUCCAGCUCCCCGUUGAUCAGUGUCCCUGUUGUCUCUCUCGCGAAGAACACGUUUGCAACUGAUCGAUGGAAGUAGCGGAUAACUGGACUUCUGAUGUGGUUGCUCUUGGUCCUAGAUGAAGCGAACUUCUUAUCAUUCCCAAUCGUUUCUCAAAGAGCCAACAAUUCAUCCCUAUCAAUCCUUUGCCCAGUCCCUGUUCCAUUAGGGAACCCAAACAAACCUUCCAUCUCUCUGAUGGUCAGCAGAUACUCAUGAUCAUGGAUGGUGAAGGUAAUGUAUCCCAAUCCUCCAUCUGACUCUAUGUCCGGAUCAUCCUCAUAA
rnacentral:lncRNA from 1 species